rnacentral:rRNA from 1 species
GAACGCUAGCUACAGGCUUAACACAUGCUAGUCGAGGGGAAACGAUAUUGGAAGCUUGCUUCCGAUAGGCGUCGACCGGCGCACGGGUGAGUAACGCGUAUCCAACCUGCCCACCACUUGGGGAUAACCUUGCGAAAGUAAGACUAAUACCCAAUGAUAUCUCUAGAAGACAUCUGAAAGAGAUUAAAGAUUUAUCGGUGAUGGAUGGGGAUGCGUCUGAUUAGCUUGUUGGCGGGGUAACGGCCCACCAAGGCGACGAUCAGUAGGGGUUCUGAGAGGAAGGUCCCCCACAUUGGAACUGAGACACGGUCCAAACUCCUACGGGAGGCAGCAGUGAGGAAUAUUGGUCAAUGGGCGAGAGCCUGAACCAGCCAAGUAGCGUGCAGGAUGACGGCCCUAUGGGUUGUAAACUGCUUUUAUAAGGGAAUAAAGUGAGCCUCGUGAGGCUUUUUGCAUGUACCUUAUGAAUAAGGACCGGCUAAUUCCGUGCCAGCAGCCGCGGUAAUACGGAAGGUCCGGGCGUUAUCCGGAUUUAUUGGGUUUAAAGGGAGCGUAGGCCGGAGAUUAAGCGUGUUGUGAAAUGUAGACGCUCAACGUCUGCACUGCAGCGCGAACUGGUUUCCUUGAGUACGCACAAAGUGGGCGGAAUUCGUGGUGUAGCGGUGAAAUGCUUAGAUAUCACGAAGAACUCCGAUUGCGAAGGCAGCUCACUGGAGCGCAACUGACGCUGAAGCUCGAAAGUGCGGGUAUCGAACAGGAUUAGAUACCCUGGUAGUCCGCACGGUAAACGAUGGAUGCCCGCUGUUGGUCUGAAUAGGUCAGCGGCCAAGCGAAAGCAUUAAGCAUCCCACCUGGGGAGUACGCCGGCAACGGUGCAACUCAAAUGAAUUG